AUGAAAUCAUCAACCUUUGCUUCAAUCUAUACGCAUGAAAUCAUCAACAACCGCGUCAAAUUUCAAUCCUCAUUAAUCUUCAAAUCACACGCAACUUCCACAUACUUCUCAUUCUCUGCGUUUGCGCAUCAAAAAUUCACAACAACAUCAACACCACGAGCACACAGAAGUGGACAAGAGAAGAAAGAGGAUUCAAGGAAGAAAGAAGAAAGCAUAAUAGAAAGGGCGAAAAACUCAUAUGUGAUCCAGAUUCUUGUGGCUUUUCUUCUUUGUUCAGAUUCAAGAGGAUACCAGAUGAAUCGAAAGUAA